UACGGAGGGGGCUAGCGUUGUUCGGAAUUACUGGGCGUAAAGCGCACGUAGGCGGCUUUGUAAGUUAGAGGUGAAAGCCCGGGGCUUAACUCCGGAAUUGCCUUUAAGACUGCAUCGCUCGAAUUGUGGAGAGGUAAGUGGAAUUCCGAGUGUAGAGGUGAAAUUCGUAGAUAUUCGGAAGAACACCAGUGGCGAAGGCGACUUACUGGACACAUAUUGACGCUGAGGUGCGAAAGCGUGGGGAGCAAACAGG
rnacentral:rRNA from 1 species